CAUUAUCUUUCGGAUAACCUCUAACAUUUUAUUACUAAACAAAAAAUAUUAAUCAAUUAGGUAGCUAUAUAUUCAACUGUUUCAUUUAAUAAUUAUGUGUUUUAGAUUAAAAAUAGUAUAGAACAGUCAAAAUGAAUGGUAUAUUGUUUGCCUUGGUGGCGAGUGUGUGCCUGGGAGGGGCAUUUUGCAUCCCUGGUUUAGUUGUAAGGGGUAUUCGUAGUGCAAAAGAGGGUCUCGAUGGCCAGGAAGCACAAAACCAAGAUCCAAUUAUCUCGGAAUUCAACAUACAUUCCAACAUCUCGAACAGAUUUGCCAAGACUUUGGUCACUAGUAAAGUUAAAAAUGCAGAAAAGAAUCCAAAAGAAGCCACGUUUACCGUGGUUUUACCAGAAAAAGCAUUUAUUUCCAAAUUUGUAAUGGAAAUAGGUGGCAAGAGCUACGAGGCUUAUGUUAAAGAAAAAGAAGAAGCUAAAAAUAUCUACGAUUCGGCUGUUCGGCAAGGAAUAAGUGCUGGUCACGUCUCAGUUAGUGCUCGAGACUCCAACAGAUUCACAGUAUCUAUCAACGUUGAACCAGAAAGUAAAGCAACUUUCCAUCUUACCUAUGAAGAACUUUUGGAAAGAAAAAAUAACCAGUACGAGCUGGUACUGAAUAUUCACCCUGGCCAAGUAGUUAAAGAUAUGAAUAUUGAGGUCUUUGUGAAUGAAAGUCGUCCUUUGAAAUUUGUAAAAACUCCUUCGCUGAGGUCGGGAAACGAAAUUAGCAAAAACGAUGCCAACCUUGACCCAGCUGCAGACAUCCAAAUAAUCAACUCUACCAGUGCUGUCGUUAAAUUCAAACCAAACUCCGACAAACAGAGGGAGUUUGCAAAAGAACUGGGGCAGAAAGAAAAUGAGGGUAUAGCUGGACAAUUUGUUGUACAGUAUGAUGUAGAUAGAGAUUCUCAAAAAGGAGAGAUUCUUCUCAAAGAUGGAUACUUCGUACAUUUCUUUGCUCCUGAAGACGUCGAACCACUUCCAAAACAUGUAGUUUUCAUCUUGGACACCAGCGGAAGUAUGUAUGGAAGAAAACUCAGGCAAAUGAAGGAAGCCAUGGGUAGUAUUUUAGAUCAGCUCAAAGAUACAGAUGCCUUCCAUAUAGUGGAAUUUAAUAGUGAUAUCUUAGUUUGGAAUAUAGAUUCAGAAUCAAAAACCAGUUUGAGGGUUCACAAUGAAAGAGAGCCUUUUGAAGAACUUUCUAAACUUGAAUUGCCAAACGCCUUAGCAGCUACCAAAGAAGCUAUUUCUAAAGGAAAAGCAGUAAUAGAGAAGCUUCAAGACACUGGAUUGACGAACAUGUUAGGUAGUAUCGAAACUGGUCUGCAUUUAGUCCACAAAGAACUGAAAAGUGGGUCAAAACGUCAACCACUCAUUAUCUUUUUGACAGACGGAGACCCGACCAUGGGAAUUUCAAAUACUGAAGAGAUUACCAAGAUUGUAACCAAAAUCAACGGCGAUAGAGACCACGUACCAAUCUUUUCUCUAUCAUUUGGAGACGGAGCAGACAAAAAGUUCUUAAGAAAACUAUCAUUGAAGAACCUAGGAUUUGCCAGACACAUUUAUGAAGGAGCUGACGCUGCUAUUCAACUCCAGGAGUUUUACAAGCAAAUCUCUUCUCCACUUUUAUCAAACAUCGAAUUUGAGUACACUGACGACGUCACUGAAGUAUCCAAAAAGACGUUCCCUAUUUACUUUAAGGGAUCAGAGUUGGUAGUUACCGGAAAGUAUCCAAUCGACGAAGGAUUUGACAUCUCCAAUUGGAGAGUAAAGAGUUGGAGCAAACACGGUCUCAUCUCACUACCACCAGUAAGGGAAGCUCCAGUUACCGAAUUGGAACGUUUGUGGGCCUAUUUAACCAUCAAGCAAAAACUGGAACAACGAGAGUUAGCAGAAAAUAAAACACAGCUAACCAAGGAAGCUCUGGAUCUGGCGCUGAAAUAUUCCUUUGUUACUGAUGUUAGUUCCUUGGUAGUUGUCAAACCGAAUCAAACCAGUGCUGUUAAUACUGAAGAUGCUUCAAAACCAAGAUCUGAAACGCUUCCAUUAAGAACGUACAGUAGUGGGUCAGUUUCAUAUGGUAUGCCAGGCUUGCCAGGACCACCAGCACAAGCUUUUGGUGCACGUUCAUAUUUUGGAUAGAUGCCGAUGGAAGGAGUUUAGAGAGGCCUAUGUCCAAACGUGGACGAUAGAAGGCUAAGAAGAAGAUGGAAUCCAACCGCAGACACGUGUUUCUGACUCACUACUCGUCAUUAGACGGUAUAGCGUAGUUAGAAUAGUUAUAUAUCUUAACUUGGGAAAGGAUCACGACAUGAGGAAUGUAAUCUUGCAAACUUAAAAAUGUAAAUGAUAUUUUAUUAUCACUAGACUUAGGCAAAUAUGCAAAUAAAAAAGUAUGAAAUAUGCGCAUAAAUAUGCAGUAUUUUACCCAAAAAUAUGCAUAUUUAUCUAAAAAAUAUGCAUGUAAUAAAAGCAAUAUUUAAAAUAUUUUUUUAUUUACAAAAAUAUUUACAAUAUAUUCACAUGUUUUAUUAAUUAACAUGUACCUAAUACAUAUCUGUAUUUUAAAAACCAAGCCUAUGUAAUUAAAUAUUUAAGUAUUUCAACAAAUAAAUGAUAUAUUUCGAAUUGUGGUAACAAUAAAUUAUUAAAUGCUGUUCAAAAUUUUCAAUUUUUUUUUCAAAUUUAAGAUAAUAGGUGGUUCUAAAUUAAGUGGUUCGGAAAAUGUCCCAGCUUGCACUUGAAUCACUUCAGAAAGAACCUGGUAACUACUGUUAAUUUCCAUGGUUGCUUCAAAUUUUUCAAAAAUUUCCUUCCCAAUAUGUAUGACUUUUAAUGUUUUGAUACAAUGAUUCCAAUUCUUUUAUUAAAAAUAUACUGUCUAACAAUGAUAAUUUGGAAGAUUCUAAUUGGGAAAUAGUUUUAUGAACAAAACUCUAGUUUGAUUUUAUGAAUGGUACUGAACUGCAUAUUUUCGGCAUUUUCAAAGCACAGUAAUUAUUCACAAUUACAAAGAUACUGCCUAUUUUACAACAAAAAUGAAAUCGUCAAAAUAAAAUUUUUUACCUAGAGCAGCGUUUCCCAACCGGCAUUUUCAAAGCACAGUAUAAUUAUUCACAAUUACAAAAACACUGCUUAUUUUACAACAAAAAUAAAAUCUUCAAAAUAAAAUUUUUUACCUAGACCUAGAGAUAUAAACUGGCAGAUUUUGGAACCCUUGUAUCAAGGACAAAACGUGACAAAAUAUAUAAGCUGGUAUCUUUUAUUAGUUAGUACAUUGCGAUACCAAAAAUUUGGAUAUUCUUUUUCUCAUGAUCAUCUUUCAGUGCGUCACAGUUUUUCGAUUUCUCUCUAACGCAUUAAAUUGUAUGUGACAGAAAAAAAGGCACGUCUGGGAAUACUUCGGUAAUUAUUCUAGUUCGGUGAUUAUUCUAGUUGUCGAUAGAUGGCGCCAUAAUCAAAAAAGAAUUAUUUAUUAAAUAAAAUAAUAAUAUUAUCAAUAUAAUCUGUACAAUUUAUAAGACUAUACAAAUGAAAGAAAAUACCAUUUUAUAAAUGCAAUAGACACAAUUGAUUUGGUUUUAUUCCAAAUUGAAAAUAAAAUUUGACAACUGUCAGAUUUAACUAAAAUGUCACGUUAGAAUAAAUGUCAUAAAUGUGUAUUAUCACGGACUUACCUUUUUUUCUAUAAUUUGUGACGCACUGAAAAAUGUUCAUGAAAAGGAGAAUACCUAGAUAUUAUAAAACAAAAUAAAAUAUUGAGAUUUCCAAGCUAUUUGUUAUCUGAAUAUAAAGAGAUAUGUAUAGUUACAACCAAAAUUCCAAAUUAUAUGCACUUUAUGCACACUUAUAUAAAAAUAUGCAGAAUUGUAAAUUUUUGAAUUUCUAAUGCAUAAUAUGCAAAAUAUGCAAUUUGCAUAUUUGCCUAAGUCUAAUUUAUCACUCUCUAGCUCAAACUCCUUCAUUUAUUCUGAUUACACGGAAUUUUGUUUUAAAUGUUCUAAUAAUCUUUUAUCUCUUUUUGCUGGCAAAUGAUCCUUCUCUAAGGUUUUCCCGAUGAAUAAUAACUUAUUUUUCCACCUACCUCUACCGAAAGUAUACUUUUCCGGACCUGAUUGUAGGGAGCAAAGUUGUACUUUUCCUCCCUAGGGAGGAAAAGUAAAAGUGACGUCAUGGUAUUUCAUUCAUGAAAUAUAACUUAUUGACGCCCUGUACAAUAUCUAUUUUCUAUUACAUCCUCAGCCAAGAUCGGGUGGAGGUGGAGCAUAUCAACCUCUUUCGCUAU